rnacentral:rRNA from 1 species
CCGAGUUUACAACUCCCAAACCCAAUGUGAACGUUACCAAACUGUUGCCUCGGCGGGAUCUCUGCCCCGGGUGCGUCGCAGCCCCGGACCAAGGCGCCCGCCGGAGGACCAACCAAAACUCUUAUUGUAUACCCCCUCGCGGGUUUUUUUAUAAUCUGAGCCUUCUCGGCGCCUCUCGUAGGCGUUUCGAAAAUGAAUCAAAACUUUCAACAACGGAUCUCUUGGUUCUGGCAUCGAUGAAGAACGCAGCGAAAUGCGAUAAGUAAUGUGAAUUGCAGAAUUCAGUGAAUCAUCGAAUCUUUGAACGCACAUUGCGCCCGCCAGUAUUCUGGCGGGCAUGCCUGUCCGAGCGUCAUUUCAACCCUCGAACCCCUCCGGGGGGUCGGCGUUGGGGAUCGGCCCUCCCUUAGCGGGUGGCCGUCUCCGAAAUACAGUGGCGGUCUCGCCGCAGCCUCUCCUGCGCAGUAGUUUGCACACUCGCAUCGGGAGCGCGGCGCGUCCACAGCCGUUAAACACCCAACUUCUGAAAUGUUGACCUCGGAUCAGGUAGGAAUACCCGCUGAACUUAAGCAUAUCAA